rnacentral:rRNA from 1 species
GAUGAACGCUGGCGGCGUGCCUAAUACAUGCAAGUCGAGCGAACAGACGAGGAGCUUGCUCCUCUGACGUUAGCGGCGGACGGGUGAGUAACACGUGGAUAACCUACCUAUAAUACUUGGAUAACUUCGGGAAACCGGAGCUAAUACCGGAUAAUAUAUUGAACCGCAUGGUUCAAUAGUGAAAGACGGUUUUGCUGUCACUUAUAGAUGGAUCCGCGCCGCAUUAGCUAGUUGGUAAGGUAACGGCUUACCAAGGCAACGAUGCGUAGCCGACCUGAGAGGGUGAUCGGCCACACUGGAACUGAGACACGGUCCAGACUCCUACGGGAGGCAGCAGUAGGGAAUCUUCCGCAAUGGGCGAAAGCCUGACGGAGCAACGCCGCGUGAGUGAUGAAGGUCUUCGGAUCGUAAAACUCUGUUAUUAGGGAAGAACAAAUGUGUAAGUAACUAUGCACGUCUUGACGGUACCUAAUCAGAAAGCCACGGCUAACUACGUG